AUGGCUCUUUCAUGAUUAUAUGAUAGGUGGUGCAUGGCCGUUCUUAGUUCGUGGAGUGAUCUGUCUGCUUAAUUGCGUUUCAAAAUUUAACUUGAGGACCGGGUUUUGGUUUGGCUAGUGGUUCUACGAUGACUGUGAACUGUCAUGUCUUCGGAUGUGCGACUAUUGGUCUAGGAUCACAUGACUUGCCCCUGGGACUCUUUUGAACGCAACGGACGUGAUUGCAACCCCUUGUUGAGAUUAGAGAUAGUCUCGAUAUUCACUGGACAAACUGGCUGCUUUAUGCAGUCUUGUUGAAUGG
rnacentral:rRNA from 1 species